UACGCUGGCCGGGCAGCUGGUUCGCCCCGUCCGCCAGGCGGGAUGCGUCGUAAGAGGGAACCCGGUGGGAAUCCGGGACUGCCCCGCAGCGGUGAGCGGGAACGACCGCCGUCAUACGCACUGGGACCGGAGAACGGUCCUGGGAAGCGACGGCCACUAGGUGUCCGCCUCGACAGAGGCCGACGUGCCCGCGAGUCCGAAGACCUGCCCGUUGCCCGUACGCGGAC
rnacentral:ncRNA from 18 species